UACGAAGGGGGCUAGCGUUGUUCGGAAUUACUGGGCGUAAAGCGCACGUAGGCGGAUUGUUAAGUCGGGGGUGAAAUCCUGGAGCUCAACUCCAGAAUUGCCUUCGAUACUGGCUUUCUAGAGGCUGGAAGAGGUUAGUGGAAUUCCCAGUGUAGAGGUGAAAUUCGUAGAUAUUGGGAAGAACACCAGUGGCGAAGGCGGCUAACUGGUCCAGAUCUGACGCUGAGGUGCGAAAGCGUGGGGAGCAAACAGG
rnacentral:rRNA from 1 species